rnacentral:rRNA from 1 species
CCUUUACUCCUACGGGAGGCAGCAGUAGGGAAUCUUCCGCAAUGGACGAAAGUCUGGACGGAGCAACGCCGCGUGAGUGAUGAAGGUUUUCGGAUCGUAAAGCUCUGUUGUUAGGGAAGAACAAGUACCGUUCGAAUAGGGCGGUACCUUGACGGUACCUAACCAGAAAGCCACGGCUAACUACGUGCCAGCAGCCGCGGUAAUAAACA